UUGAGUGGCGAACGGGUGAGUAACACGUGGGUGACCUAGCCUCUCGAAGUGGGGGAUAACGUCCCGAAAGGGACGCUAAUACCGCAUAGACAUCCCUGCUCUUGAAUGGGGGGAGAUCAAAGCCUGGGGAUCGCAAGACCUGGCGUUUGGAGAGGGACCCGCGUCCUGAUUAGCUAGUUGGUGAGGUAACGGCUCACCAAGGCGACGAUCGGUAGUCCGGCCUGAGAGGGCGGACGGCACACACUGGGACUGAGACACGGCCCAGACUCCUACGGGAGGCAGCA
rnacentral:rRNA from 1 species